UGUGGGCGGAAAGAAGGAUUAUCCAAGCGAAGCGAAACAUGAUAAAGAAAAUGGUAAUAACUGAAAUGGUAAUAACUUCUUUACCAUUUUCUUUAUCAUGUUUCGCUUCGCUUGGAUAAUCCUUCUUUCCGCCCACA